CCCAAACCUGCAAUGAAGGAGGAUGCCAUGUUACUGGGAAAACUGGACCAGAGCACUGGCACUAGGAUGUGUCCCCAGCCCUGCCACUGACUCACACUAGCCCAACCACGUGUGGCACAUGGGUGCUGGCAUUGUGCUGCUUUGAAGGUGCUCUGUGCGGCUUUUGCCUCCCUCUUUAGAGCUGAUGAGUUAAUAUUUAUUAAUAGACACAGGCACGUGAGGUAGGCAGCAAAGGGUGUUGUGAGACAUCCCAGCAGAUUUGGGAGCACAGAAAUGUGGCAUGGGAGGCCCAGGCAAGAGCAGCCUUUGUUGAGAAGGGUGAAGGGAUGCUUGGGAGCUGUUGCUACCAGCAAGAGAAGUUACUUUCUGGGAAAGCUUAUCCUGAUAUCCUAGGAUACAAACAGCAAAUGCUCAUAGAGCUGGGACAGCAAUUAUGUUUUAGCUUUUGCUAGGAUUAGGUGUGACAGGAAGAUCUCCCGUCCUGCAGCUGAUUGACAUAAUCGUACUCCCUGUCCUGGCUUGCAGUCCCAGCUCAGCCUCUUAAUUGCUGCCCUGAGACUGAGCCCCUCAACCUUCAGCCUCAGUGUCAGAGAUGCUCUUUGGUGCCCUUUGCCUGUGUUAUACCCCACCAACAGGGCUGCAGGCACUUGGGGCCAAGCAGGGAAAGGCAUGUGCCCUGAUUUUUAUUAAGGGCAUGGAAAUAACUGGGGAAUGUAUCCACAUUCUCUGCAGCGAUGUCCAUUCUCUCAUCCCAUCUGCAGGCUGGAUUCAAUUAAUUUCUUAGCUGACUUUCCAUCAGUGCUGCAUCCCCACAGGGUUUCUCCACAGGAAGCCUCAAGAACCUUGCAAGCUCUGGGAACCCUCACCCCUGUGAUGGAACCCGCUGGCCUCAGAGGAACUGCUGUCACUGGGGUUUGAUUGAGACAGGAAGGACCUGGGCACCCAACUAACCGUCACUGGCAGCUUGCACAGUGCUGGAAGUACCAGCACACAUCUGGGGCUGCCUGGGAGCCAUGGCCCACAGGGCUGCCCCAACUGCAGGGACAUUCAGGCAGAAGAGACAAAGAUACUUUAGUCCUUAUAGUCCUUUGCACAAGGCUUGCUCUUACACUGUGCCUUAAAUCAUGACUCUGGCUCAGUUCAUCUGCUGUCUCAACAAAUCCUGGUUUACUCCCUUUCUCCAUGGGGCAGGGGUGGGGAACGGGGGCAGAAACUUGGCCCCUUGUUCUUUGCUGUGUCUAACCCAUGGCAAUCCCUUUAAAGUCACACUGUAAUAUUGUUGAGUUCAAAUGUAAACAGCACUUAAUGUCUCCCUUCAGCUUCCCAGUUUUCCAUAUGCAAAACUCCCUCUGCAAAGGAGACAGACCAGCAGAAAACUGCCACCACAUGAUGGGAGCCAGGCCUCCAUCUCCAUGCUUGGUGUAACUCCACGUUUGCAGCCAGAUGCACAAACUUGCUCUAGCUCAAGCAUCUGUUGUUAGUUACCCACAAACAGCCCUGAUAAACACAGCCCUCUAAGCUUCCUGACAGAGCCUGGCAAGUGACAAAGCAAAAGGACAAGGCAACGAGGAGUUGGCAAAGAGAAGUAUUGGCUAUUUAGAAGUUACCCUUCUUGGUAGUUAUGGUCUGGGAGAAAGGGUUGGGUAGAAGAAGAGGAGAGAUAUUGUUUGCAGCAGUUGUAUUUGUAGGAGACAAGAAGGAUGCACUGUUGUGGAAGAGAAAGGAACCAUGGCCACAUCUGCAAGCAAGAGAUCUGAACUGUGUCCAAGGGAACCAGGAGAGCUUCCAACAGGACACGGUCGAAAAGUUCAAGUCCAAGGAAAAGCAAGAUUCCAUUAAAAAGACCCCAGUCCCAUUUCAAAAGAAGAACUGAGCAUGCUCAGAGGGACGUGGAGCUCAUUACCAUACGAAAUGAGAGCAGGCAGAGUUAGGCAAUGAAUAUGUAUAGAUGUAUUGUGUGAUUUAUGCAUAUGUAAUGUUUUGGGGAAUAAAUUGAGUAUAGGGGGCAGUGGGGGACGCACGUCUUUGGGAGAUGACUCCGGCGUGUCACCCGGUAAUAAACACAUCCUCCCUAACCUUAAGUA